CAGUCGCCGCGGUAAUACGAAGGGUGCAAGCGUUACUCGGAAUUACUGGGCGUAAAGCGUGCGUAGGUGGUGGUUUAAGUCCGCUGUGAAAUCCCCGGGCUCAACCUGGGAAUGGCAGUGGAUACUGGCAAGCUAGAGUGUGUCAGAGGAUGGUGGAAUUCCCGGUGUAGCGGUGAAAUGCGUAGAGAUCGGGAGGAACAUCAGUGGCGAAGGCGGCCAUCUGGGACAACACUGACGCUGAGGCACGAAAGCGUGGGGAGCAAACAGGAUUAGAUACCCGCGUAGUCCCUGUCUCUUAUAC
rnacentral:rRNA from 1 species